rfam:Felis catus isolate Cinnamon breed Abyssinian chromosome E2, whole genome shotgun sequence.
ACCUGGGUGGCUCAGUUGGUUGAGCAUCCGAUUUUGGAUCAGGUUAUGAUUUCAUGGUUUGCGGGUUCGAGCCCCACUUUGGGCU